rnacentral:rRNA from 1 species
UACAGAGGGGGCAAGCGUUAUUCGGAAUUAUUGGGCGUAAAGGGCGCGUAGGCGGCUUUGCAAGUGACGGGUGAAAUCCCUCGGCUUAACCGAGGAACUGCCUGUCAAACUGCAUGGCUUGAGACUGGGAGAGGUGAGUGGAAUUCCCAGUGUAGCGGUGAAAUGCGUAGAUAUUGGGAGGAACACCAGUGGCGAAGGCGGCUCACUGGACCGGUUCUGACGCUGAGGCGCGAAAGCGUGGGGAGCAAACGGG